rnacentral:rRNA from 1 species
UACGAAGGGGGCUAGCGUUGCUCGGAAUCACUGGGCGUAAAGCGCACGUAGGCGGAUCGCUAAGUCGGGGGUGAAAUCCUGGAGCUCAACUCCAGAACUGCCUUCGAUACUGGCGAUCUUGGAGUCCGGGAGAGGUGGGUGGAACUGCGAGUGUAGAGGUGAAAUUCGUAGAUAUUCGCAAGAACACCAGUGGCGAAGGCGGCUCACUGGCCCGGUACUGACGCUGAGGUGCGAAAGCGUGGGGAGCAAACAGG